AGAGUUUGAUCCUGGCUCAGAUUGAACGCUGGCGGUAUGCUUUACACAUGCAAGUCGAACGGCAGCACGGGGGCAACCCUGGUGGCGAGUGGCGAACGGGGGAGUAACAUAUCGGAACAUAUCCGGAAGUGGGGGAUAACGUAGCGAAAGUUACGCUAAUACCGCAUAUGCCCUGAGGGGGAAAGGGGGGGAUCGCAAGACCUCUCGCUUUCGGAGUGGCCGAUAUCAGAUUAGCUAGUUGGUGAGGUAAAGGCUCACCAAGGCGACGAUCUGUAGCUGGUCUGAGAGGACGACCAGCCACACUGGAACUGAGACACGGUCCAGACUCCUACGGGAGGCAGCAGUGGGGAAUUUUGGGCAAUGGGCGCAAGCCUGACCCAGCAACGCCGCGUGAGUGAUUAAGGCCUUCGGGUUGUAAACUCCUGUCAGAUGGAACGAAACGGUUCUCUCUAAUAAAGAGCGGAAAUGACGGUACCGUAAGAAUAAGCACCGGCUAACUACGUGCCAGCAGCCGCGGUAAUACGUAGGGUGCGAGCGUUAAUCGGAAUUACUGGGCGUAAAGCGUGCGCAGGCGGUUAUAUAAGACAGAUGUGAAAUCCCCGGGCUCAACCUGGGACCUGCAUUUGUGACUGUAUAGCUAGAGUACGGUAGAGGGGGAUGGAAUUCCGCGUGUAGCAGUGAAAUGCGUAGAUAUGCGGAGGAACACCGAUGGCGAAGGCAAUCCCCUGGACCUGUACUGACGCUCAUGCACGAAAGCGUGGGGAGCAAACAGGAUUAGAUACCCUGGUAGUCCACGCCCUAAACGAUGUCAACUGGUUGUUGGGUCUUCACUGACUCAGUAACGAAGCUAACGCGUGAAGUUGACCGCCUGGGGAGUACGGCCGCAAGGUUAAAACUCAAAGGAAUUGACGGGGACCCGCACAAGCGGUGGAUGAUGUGGUUUAAUUCGAUGCAACGCGAAAAACCUUACCCACCUUUGACAUGUACGGAAGAUCGCAGAGACGCGAUUGUGCUCGAAAGAGAACCGUAACACAGGUGCUGCAUGGCUGUCGUCAGCUCGUGUCGUGAGAUGUUGGGUUAAGUCCCGCAACGAGCGCAACCCUUGCCAUUAGUUGCUACAUUCAGUUGGGCACUCUAAUGGGACUGCCGGUGACAAACCGGAGGAAGGUGGGGAUGACGUCAAGUCCUCAUGGCCCUUAUAGGUGGGGCUACACACGUCAUACAAUGGCUGGUACAAAGGGUUGCCAACCCGCGAGGGGGAGCUAAUCCCAUAAAGCCAGUCGUAGUCCGGAUCGUAGUCUGCAACUCGACUACGUGAAGUCGGAAUCGCUAGUAAUCGUGGAUCAGAAUGUCACGGUGAAUACGUUCCCGGGUCUUGUACACACCGCCCGUCACACCAUGGGAGCGGGUUCUGCCAGAAGUAGUUAGCCUAACCGCAAGGAGGGCGAUUACCACGGCAGGGUUCGUGACUGGGGUGAAGUCGUAACAAGGUAACC
rnacentral:rRNA from 1 species